GUGUGUAUAUAUAUAUAUAUAUAUUUGUGUUUGGGGCAUUCUCAUAUGAUAUAGAAUAAGAUUGGUUGUAGAGAUGUAGCUUUAGGAAUAAUUGGUUGAGGUGUGCCGAAACUGACGUAUGCUGUAGGCCGGUAAAAAGUGGGCAAAAAGACAUAUUAAUGCAAAACAUUAUACAGGAUGAUAGUGCAUUUGUUUACCAUCAGGUAGACAUUUUAAUGAAAGCUUCCUAAUUCCUGAAUCGGCUGUGGUAUGUAAGUCGCAUAAGCCUAUGAUUCCCAGCGGCCUCGUGUCUUAACGUGUGCGGGGUUGUCUUGGCUAUAGGCCGUGGAGGCUGCUCCAAUCCUAAAGGAGUGCCCUGAGUAGUCGCUAGGGUUUAGUUCGAGCCCGGUGAGU